rnacentral:rRNA from 1 species
CUUCGGCCCGAGUUGUAAUUUGCAGAGGAUGUUUAUGGUGCGGUACCUUCCGAGUUCCCUGGAACGGGACGCCACAGAGGGUGAGAGCCCCGUCUGGUUGGAUACCAAACCUGUGUUAAACUCCUUCAACGAGUCGAGUAGUUUGGGAAUGCUGCUCUAAAUGGGAGGUAAAUCUCUUCUAAAGCUAAAUACUGGCCAGAGACCGAUAGCGCACAAGUAGAGUGAUCGAAAGAUGAAAAGCACCUUGAAAAGGGGGUUAAACAGUACGUGAAAUUGUUGAAAGGGAAGCGUUUAUGACCAGACUUGUGCCGUGUGGCUCAUCCGAGGUUCUCCCCGGUGCACUCCACGCGGCUCAAGCCAACAUCGGUUUUCGUUGGGGGAGAAGAACAGUGGGAACGUAGCUCCUCUCGGGGAGUGUUAUAGCCCAUUGUACGAUACCCUGGCGGGGACCGAGGACCGCGCUUCGGCUAGGAUGUUGGCGUAAUGGUCAUUAGCGACCCGUCUUGAAACACGGACCAAGGAGUCGUCCAUUAGAGCGAGCGUUUGGGUGUAAAACCCGCACGCGUAAUGAAAGUGAAAUUAGGUGAGAGCUUCGGCGCAUCAUCGACCGAUCCUGAAGUUUACGGAUGGAUUUGAGUAAGAGUUUUAACGGACGGACCCGAAAGACAGUGAACUAUGCUUGAAUAGGGUGAAGCCAGAGGAAACUCUGGUGGAGGCUCGCAGCGGUUCUGACGUGCAAAUCGAUCGUCAAAUUUGAGCAUGGGGGCGAAAGACUAAUCGAACUGUCUAGUAGCUGGUUACCGCCGAAGUUUCCCUCAGGAUAGCAGUGUUGAUCUUCAGUUUUAUGAGGUAAAGCGAAUGAUUAGGGACUCGGGGGCGCUUAUUAGCCUUCAUCCAUUCUCAAACUUUAAAUAUGUAAGAAGCCCUUGUUACUUAAUUGAACGUGGGCAUUCGAAUGUACCAACACUAGUGGGCCAUUUUUGGUAAGCAGAACUGGCGAUGCGGGAUGAACCGAACGGGGGGUUAAGGCGCCAGAAUGUACGCUCAUCAGACACCACAAAAGGCGUUAGUACAUCUUGACAGCAGGACGGUGGCCAUGGAAGUCGGAAUCCGCUAAGGACUGUGUAACAACUCACCUGCCGAAUGUACUAGCCCUGAAAAUGGAUGGCGCUCAAGCGUACUGCCCAUACCCCCCCUUCAGGGUAGAAACGAUGCC